GGACUACUGGGGUUUCUAAUCCCGUUCGCUCCCCAUGCCGUCGUGGCUGAGCGUCAGUUGCGAGCCAGGGCGCCGCCUUCGCCUCUGGGGUUCCUCCGGAUCUCUACGCAUUUCACCACUACACCCGGAAUUCCACGCCCCUCUCUCGCACUCUAGAGCCACAGUCUGGCAUAACCUUGUCACGUUAAGCGCGACACUUUUAUACACCACUUGUGACCCCGCCUGCACACCCUUUACGCCCAGUAAAUCCGGAUAACGCUUGCCACCUACGUUUUACCGCGGCUGCUGGCAC
rnacentral:rRNA from 1 species